rnacentral:rRNA from 1 species
AGCGUACACGGUGGAUGCCCUGGCAGUCAGAGGCGAUGAAGGACGUGCUAAUCUGCGAUAAGCGUCGGUAAGGUGAUAUGAACCGUUAUAACCGGCGAUUUCCGAAUGGGGAAACCCAGUGUGAUUCGUCACACUAUCAUUAACUGAAUCCAUAGGUUAAUGAGGCGAACCGGGGGAACUGAAACAUCUAAGUACCCCGAGGAAAAGAAAUCAACCGAGAUUCCCCCAGUAGCGGCGAGCGAACGGGGAGCAGCCCAGAGCCUGAAUCAGUGUGUGUGUUAGUGGAAGCGUCUGGAAAGGCGCGCGAUACAGGGUGACAGCCCCGUACACAAAAAUGCACAUACUGUGAGCUCGAUGAGUAGGGCGGGACACGUGGUAUCCUGUCUGAAUAUGGGGGGACCAUCCUCCAAGGCUAAAUACUCCUGACUGACCGAUAGUGAACCAGUACCGUGAGGGAAAGGCGAAAAGAACCCCGGCGAGGGGAGUGAAAAAGAACCUGAAACCGUGUACGUACAAGCAGUGGGAGCACAGAGCAAUCUGUGUGACUGCGUACCUUUUGUAUAAUGGGUCAGCGACUUAUAUUCUGUAGCAAGGUUAACCGAAUAGGGGAGCCGAAGGGAAACCGAGUCUUAACUGGGCGUUAAGUUGCAGGGUAUAGACCCGAAACCCGGUGAUCUAGCCAUGGGCAGGUUGAAGGUUGGGUAACACUAACUGGAGGACCGAACCGACUAAUGUUGAAAAAUUAGCGGAUGACUUGUGGCUGGGGGUGAAAGGCCAAUCAAACCGGGAGAUAGCUGGUUCUCCCCGAAAGCUAUUUAGGUAGCGCCUCGUGAAUUCAUCUCCGGGGGUAGAGCACUGUUUCGGCAAGGGGGUCAUCCCGACUUACCAACCCGAUGCAAACUGCGAAUACCGGAGAAUGUUAUCACGGGAGACACACGGCGGGUGCUAACGUCCGUCGUGAAGAGGGAAACAACCCAGACCGCCAGCUAAGGUCCCAAAGUCAUGGUUAAGUGGGAAACGAUGUGGGAAGGCCCAGACAGCCAGGAUGUUGGCUUAGAAGCAGCCAUCAUUUAAAGAAAGCGUAAUAGCUCACUGGUCGAGUCGGCCUGCGCGGAAGAUGUAACGGGGCUAAACCAUGCACCGAAGCUGCGGCAGCGACACUGUGUGUUGUUGGGUAGGGGAGCGUUCUGUAAGCCUGUGAAGGUGUGCUGUGAGGCAUGCUGGAGGUAUCAGAAGUGCGAAUGCUGACAUAAGUAACGAUAAAGCGGGUGAAAAGCCCGCUCGCCGGAAGACCAAGGGUUCCUGUCCAACGUUAAUCGGGGCAGGGUGAGUCGACCCCUAAGGCGAGGCCGAAAGGCGUAGUCGAUGGGAAACAGGUUAAUAUUCCUGUACUUGGUGUUACUGCGAAGGGGGGACGGAGAAGGCUAUGUUGGCCGGGCGACGGUUGUCCCGGUUUAAGCGUGUAGGCUGGUUUUCCAGGCAAAUCCGGAAAAUCAAGGCUGAGGCGUGAUGACGAGGCACUACGGUGCUGAAGCAACAAAUGCCCUGCUUCCAGGAAAAGCCUCUAAGCAUCAGGUAACAUCAAAUCGUACCCCAAACCGACACAGGUGGUCAGGUAGAGAAUACCAAGGCGCUUGAGAGAACUCGGGUGAAGGAACUAGGCAAAAUGGUGCCGUAACUUCGGGAGAAGGCACGCUGAUAUGUAGGUGAAGUCCCUCGCGGAUGGAGCUGAAAUCAGUCGAAGAUACCAGCUGGCUGCAACUGUUUAUUAAAAACACAGCACUGUGCAAACACGAAAGUGGACGUAUACGGUGUGACGCCUGCCCGGUGCCGGAAGGUUAAUUGAUGGGGUCAGCGCAAGCGAAGCUCUUGAUCGAAGCCCCGGUAAACGGCGGCCGUAACUAUAACGGUCCUAAGGUAGCGAAAUUCCUUGUCGGGUAAGUUCCGACCUGCACGAAUGGCGUAAUGAUGGCCAGGCUGUCUCCACCCGAGACUCAGUGAAAUUGAACUCGCUGUGAAGAUGCAGUGUACCCGCGGCAAGACGGAAAGACCCCGUGAACCUUUACUAUAGCUUGACACUGAACAUUGAGCCUUGAUGUGUAGGAUAGGUGGGAGGCUUUGAAGUGUGGACGCCAGUCUGCAUGGAGCCGACCUUGAAAUACCACCCUUUAAUGUUUGAUGUUCUAACGUGGACCCGUGAUCCGGGUUGCGGACAGUGUCUGGUGGGUAGUUUGACUGGGGCGGUCUCCUCCUAAAGAGUAACGGAGGAGCACGAAGGUUGGCUAAUCCUGGUCGGACAUCAGGAGGUUAGUGCAAUGGCAUAAGCCAGCUUGACUGCGAGCGUGACGGCGCGAGCAGGUGCGAAAGCAGGUCAUAGUGAUCCGGUGGUUCUGAAUGGAAGGGCCAUCGCUCAACGGAUAAAAGGUACUCCGGGGAUAACAGGCUGAUACCGCCCAAGAGUUCAUAUCGACGGCGGUGUUUGGCACCUCGAUGUCGGCUCAUCACAUCCUGGGGCUGAAGUAGGUCCCAAGGGUAUGGCUGUUCGCCAUUUAAAGUGGUACGCGAGCUGGGUUUAGAACGUCGUGAGACAGUUCGGUCCCUAUCUGCCGUGGGCGCUGGAGAACUGAGGGGGGCUGCUCCUAGUACGAGAGGACCGGAGUGGACGCAUCACUGGUGUUCGGGUUGUCAUGCCAAUGGCACUGCCCGGUAGCUAAAUGCGGAAGAGAUAAGUGCUGAAAGCAUCUAAGCACGAAACUUGCCCCGAGAUGAGUUCU